UAGAAUGUCAUCAUGGGAUGCAAUAACAGUGUACGGAUAGUUUCGCACAUAUACAGCUCUGGCUGUCGUCUUCUUCGUUUUGUGUUUCAGUUUCAGUUUCUGGGUUUCUCGGUCGAAUAGAGAGUAGAAAGACAAAAAAUAAGAGUUAGAAGAAGAAGAAGAAGAAGAAAACCUAAUUACCAGAGAAUUUAUCAGAUGGGAGAUUCGAAGAGGAAACGACGCCGAAAACCGAAGCAACCUGCCGCCGAAACACAGAGGAACAAUCCAGGCACUACUUCCUAUGCCGCCAUGGACGACGUUUUCUCCGUCAGCAACGUCGAAGUCACCGAUUCCGAUCCUCCCGCCGCAGGCAAGGGACGUGGUGGUCGGGGUCGGAAAGCUGCAAAGCACCCCGACAACACUGAAACCUCUCUCGUCGCUUCUCCUGCCAGGCGGUCUUCUCGUCUCACCGAAAACAACGGCGACUGUGUACUCGCCGUGUCUGUCGCCGGCGACGUCGGUAGGAAUUCUUUUGUUGAGCCACCGCCCAGGUGGGAGAAUGUUGUCAAGGUUGUUCCAUCAAUGGAUGCGGUCGUUAAGGUGUUUUGUGUUCAUACAGAGCCCAAUUUUUCCCUUCCCUGGCAGUGGAAACGACAGGUUAGUUCCGGUAGUAGUGGUUUCAUUAUUGGUGGACGGAGGGUGCUGACGAAUGCUCACUCCGUGGAGCAUUAUACACAGGUUAAGCUCAAGAAACGCGGCUCCGAUACCAAAUACUUGGCCACUGUGUUAGCAAUUGGAACGGAGUGUGAUAUUGCAAUGCUGACAGUAAAUGAUGAUGAGUUUUGGGAAGGCAUUACACCUCUGGAAUUUGGGUCCUUGCCUGCACUCCAAGAUGCUGUCACUGUUGUGGGCUACCCAAUAGGAGGAGACACAAUUUCCGUGACAAGUGGUGUGGUGUCACGCAUGGAAAUCUUGUCAUAUGUUCAUGGGUCCACUGAGCUUUUGGGAUUGCAGAUAGAUGCUGCCAUAAACUCAGGAAAUUCUGGUGGGCCUGCUUUCAAUGACAAGGGCAAAUGUGUGGGUAUUGCAUUUCAGUCCCUUAAACAUGAAGAUGUGGAGAAUAUAGGUUAUGUCAUACCAACCCCUGUCAUUAUGCACUUCAUUCAGGACUAUGAGAGGAAUGGAGAAUAUACAGGAUUUCCAAUUCUUGGAGUUGAGUGGGAAAAGAUGGAAAAUCCCGAUUUGCGAAUGGCAAUGGGGAUGAAACCUGACCAGAAGGGUGUUCGCAUUAAAAGAAUUGAACCUACUGCUCCAGAAUCUCAGGUUUUGAAGCCAUCCGACAUAUUACUCAGCUUUGAUGGAAUCAAUAUUGCUAAUGAUGGAACAGUUGCUUUUAGACAUGGAGAGCGCAUUGGUUUUAGUUAUCUUGUUUCUCAAAAAUACACUGGAGAGAAUGCUGUAGUUAAAGUUCUCCGCAAUUCUACCGAAAAGAAAAAAAGAAAAAAGGUUCUUCGCAAUUCAGAAAUUCUUGAAUUCAGCAUCAAACUGGCAACUCACAAACGGCUUGUCCAAUUACACACCAAAGGAAAACCUCCUUCGUAUUAUAUUAUUGCUGGAUUUGUCUUUACAACUGUAUCUGUUCCAUAUCUACGGUCUGAGGAUGUCCAUUCUAUGAUCCAAAGCUGGCAGUUUGCAGGGCUUAGUGUGAAGGGUGAAGUCUGUGAAGGAUGACUCUUUUUGUUAUCUGUUCAUGGGAGAAGCUUCUUGAUGGUUCAACUUCUCAUGGCACGAUGGUAGAAAGGGAAUUGCGAAGGUCUAAGGAAGCAACUAUAAUCCAAUAAUGCCUGUAAUUUGGUCAGACACUUGGCUUUAGUUUCUACCAAUUAUUUUUUGCUUCUGAAGGAUCCUCUGUUUCCAUCAAUUCAGAUAUCAUUCUCAUUGGAUAUUUUCUCCCUCUAACCAUUGUACUACUUUACACUGUCAUCUUAUUUCUAAUUUUUUUUUUAUCUUUCCCAUACUUUUUCAUUGAUUUAUGAUUUAGUAAUCAUCUCCACAGCAGUGACAGACCACUAAAUUACCAUGACUUAUGUUUUAUUAGUUCUUUCUUUCACAAAUGGUCUGACUUAAAGAAUAUGCCACUUCUCUUCACCAAUUGUUCUGUGUGCCGCCUUGUUUGAAGCCAAUCUAUGCUACCCUUAGCAAUGACGAGGACUUGGGGUUCUCUGUGUGUGUGACAUAAUUUUUUAUUCUCCUCUUUAUCUCCUGUCCACAUACCCCCCUUCACCCUGGUCCAGACUGGGCAGUCGUGUAACCAUGAUCAAAGUGCAGAGGGGUUACUGGGGGAGUUUCUGGACUGUUGGUGGUAGCCAAUUAAUGUUGUUGGGUCUUAAGUAUGAUUUGGCUCUCUCAGGUUGUUAUCCUUGCAUCUCAUGUCUUGGGUUUUGCACCUUCAUCUGGGUCACUGAAGGACCUGAGAUUGCUAUUAUGUUGGAAUUGACUCAUACCGACAUGGAUUGUGUAAUUCAAAUUGGUAAUGGAUGCUGUGGAUUCCGAGGUAGUAUUCAAUUAUUUGUCUGAUCCACAUUAGAUUGUUCAAUCCUGUUAUGGAUUGACAUUGGUAGGGAAUGAUCUGACUCCUGAUCCCAAUUCUCAAAACCUUUGCAUUUCUAAGGGGUGCAGAAAAUUGACUAGGUUUUAUGGGGUCUGGUUGGAUGAAAAACUUCAAACAUCAGCUUGGGAAUUAGAACCUUGAUUGGAAGUCUGUGUGGCUGGCUGGAGUGAAGUCAAACUUCUCUCAUGAAUCUUGUGAUAAAAUGGAUGCAGUGUGGUUGCCUAGCAGAUGAUUUGUAGAGUUGGCCAGUAGAUGGUGGUUAUGGAAUUGUGUAUGAUAUGGCGUAAUGCGAGAAAGUUAUCAUACACUUCUAGUGAAGGAAUCAAGAAGUGAGUCAAUUUGGGCAUUCAACUCCUUUCUGUGAUGAUAUGUAGCAAUAUAGUACUAUUGAAUUUUAUCUUUUCCAUACUUUUAUGAUCUUGUUGCUGAGAAAAAAGGUUUUAUUGUUGUUUUCGUGGAUAAACAGCCAGCCAGCCAGCCAGCCAGCCAGGAUUCAAAUUAUUGGCUACAUCUUAAGGAUAAAUUGAAAUUAUUGGAGAUGCAACUUGUCCAUGAUCUCCUGAUGAUCUUUCGUCAAGCUUAAAUUAGAAAGGAGUGGGCAGAAGGAUUAGUAAUGGAAAUUGGAAAUGUUCUGGUUGUUUCCCUGUUAGCUGAGGCUUUCGUUUCACCUUUGUGCCUCCAGCUUUUGAGAUUCUGCUGUUUGUGAAGGGGAUGCCUGCAGAAAAAUGAAUCCUUCGUAGAACACAAAGCUAGAUAGGAUCCUGGCCAUCAGUGUCCUUAUUUGAGAAGGAUAGUAUUUCGAAUGUCUGUAUCAUGCCACACUUCUGCCUUAUUAGCCACUUAUGAGGUUUGGAUUGAAUUUCUUAAGGUCAUCCUAUGAUGCUACCCCAGGUGUGCGGUAGAGUGGAAACAUUCGGUUGUUUGAUAUCUUGAGGAUUUGGUCCUUGAAUUGCAGUUAUUGGUGGACUUUGCAUUUUUUUUUUCUUUGCUCAAGAGGACUGCAUGUAAUUAUACCUGCGGCCUUCUAGCUUGAAAGGGGCUUUCCUGACCAACCCAUAUUGUAGGGAAGUGUAGCAAGUUUCAUAGACGGUGGAACUCUUUGUUGCCUUGGGAGUCAAGGUUGUAUGGAUAUUUUGGGCCUUUUGUUGUUCUGUUGUGAAGUUUCUAGGUUUUUUGUGGUCUGUUCUCCUUUGAUGUCAUGAUAUACUUUGUUUUAUUUUGGUUUAUGUUGGUGAUGUUUCUUCUUCCUUUUUGGUUGCAAAUGGCAAGCUGUCCUUUUUUUGCCCUCUUGAAUAAAAAGGCACUAGUGUUAAACCGCAA